rnacentral:snRNA from 1 species
AUCUUUGCGCUUGGGGCAAUACGAUAGUGUGUGAAGCUCUGCUGAUGCAUCGUUAUUGCUAGUUGAAAACUACUCCAAACCUCGUGGGUUUGGCCACUGGCCAACUCCAAUUUCUGAUACUCUCCCCUUGAGG